rnacentral:lncRNA from 1 species
GCCACCAGUAACUCAAAUCCUUGGUAAAACCAGCUCCUUGCUAAAUUCAUCACAAGCCACAGAUAUAAAAACAAAAAGUAAGCGCAGCAUGGCUCUCACAGCAAUCUUCUUGUGGUAACACUUCACAUCAUAGAGCAAGCCUCUCCCAUCCAAAGAACAAAAACUUAUCAUCACAGAAGCAGAAACAAAGCAUUAUGCAUGCCUUGCUGCUUCC